GCCCCCAGAGGCCUAGACAGAGCUGCGGGCGGGGCAGGCCGCGCUCAGCAGGAGGGGCGGGAGCCGCGUGCGCCCGAGGACCCGGCCGGAAGGCUUGCGCCAGCUCAGGAUGAGGACAGGCUGGGCGACCCCUCGCCGCCCGGCGGGGCUCCUCAUGCUGCUCUUCUGGUUCUUCGAUCUCGCGGAGCCCUCUGGCCGCGCAGCUAAUGACCCCUUCACCAUCGUCCAUGGAAAUACGGGCAAGUGCAUCAAGCCAGUGUAUGGCUGGAUAGUAGCAGACGACUGUGAUGAAACUGAGGACAAGUUAUGGAAGUGGGUGUCCCAGCAUCGGCUCUUUCAUUUGCACUCCCAAAAGUGCCUUGGCCUCGAUAUUACCAAAUCGGUAAAUGAGCUGAGAAUGUUCAGCUGUGACUCCAGUGCCAUGCUGUGGUGGAAAUGUGAGCACCACUCUCUGUACGGAGCUGCCCGGUACCGGCUGGCUCUGAAGGAUGGACAUGGCACAGCAAUCUCAAACGCAUCUGAUGUCUGGAAGAAAGGAGGCUCAGAGGAAAGCCUUUGUGACCAGCCUUAUCAUGAGAUCUAUACCAGAGAUGGGAACUCUUAUGGGAGACCUUGUGAAUUUCCAUUCUUAAUUGAUGGGACCUGGCAUCAUGAUUGCAUUCUUGAUGAAGAUCAUAGUGGGCCAUGGUGUGCCACCACCUUGAAUUAUGAAUAUGACCGAAAGUGGGGCAUCUGCUUAAAGCCUGAAAACGGUUGUGAAGAUAAUUGGGAAAAGAACGAGCAGUUUGGAAGUUGCUACCAAUUUAAUACUCAGACGGCUCUUUCUUGGAAAGAAGCUUAUGUUUCAUGUCAGAAUCAACAAGCUGAUUUACUGAGCAUCAACAGUGCUGCUGAAUUAACUUACCUUAAAGAAAAAGAAGGCAUUGCUAAGAUUUUCUGGAUUGGUUUAAAUCAGCUAUACUCUGCUAGAGGCUGGGAAUGGUCAGACCACAAACCAUUAAACUUUCUCAACUGGGAUCCAGACAGGCCCAGUGCACCUACUAUAGGUGGCUCCAGCUGUGCAAGAAUGGAUGUUGAGUCUGGUCUGUGGCAGAGCUUUUCCUGUGAAGCUCAGCUGCCCUAUGUCUGCAGGAAACCAUUAAAUAAUACAGUGGAGUUAACAGAUGUCUGGACAUACUCAGAUACCCGCUGUGAUGCAGGCUGGCUGCCAAAUAAUGGAUUUUGCUAUCUGCUGGUAAAUGAAAGUAAUUCCUGGGAUAAGGCACAUGCGAAAUGCAAAGCCUUCAGUAGUGACCUAAUCAGCAUUCAUUCUCUAGCAGAUGUGGAGGUGGUUGUCACAAAACUCCAUAAUGAGGAUAUCAAAGAAGAAGUGUGGAUAGGCCUUAAGAACAUAAACAUACCAACUUUAUUUCAGUGGUCAGAUGGUACUGAAGUUACUCUAACAUAUUGGGAUGAGAAUGAGCCAAAUGUUCCCUACAAUAAGACGCCCAACUGUGUUUCCUACUUAGGAGAGCUAGGUCAGUGGAAAGUCCAAUCAUGUGAGGAGAAACUAAAAUAUGUAUGCAAGAGGAAGGGAGAAAAACUGAAUGACGCAAGUUCUGAUAAGAUGUGUCCUCCAGAGGAGGGCUGGAAGAGACAUGGAGAAACCUGUUACAAGAUUUAUGAGGAUGAGGUCCCUUUUGGAACAAACUGCAAUCUGACUAUCACUAGCAGAUUUGAGCAAGAAUACCUAAAUGAUUUGAUGAAAAAGUAUGAUAAAUCUCUAAGAAAAUACUUCUGGACUGGCCUGAGAGAUGUAGAUUCUCGUGGAGAGUAUAACUGGGCAACUGUUGGUGGAAGAAGGCAGGCUGUAACCUUUUCCAACUGGAAUUUUCUUGAGCCAGCUUCCCCGGGCGGCUGCGUGGCUAUGUCUACUGGAAAGUCUAUUGGAAAGUGGGAGGUGAAGGACUGCAGAAGCUUCAAAGCACUUUCAAUUUGCAAGAAAAUGAGUGGGCCCCUUGAGCCUGAAGAAGCAGCCCCUAAGCCUGAUGACCCCUGUCCUGAAGGCUGGCAGAGUUUCCCCGCAAGUCUUUCUUGUUAUAAGGUAUUCCAUGCAGAAAGAAUUGUAAGAAAGAGGAACUGGGAAGAAGCUGAACGAUUCUGCCAAGCCCUUGGAGCACACCUUUCUAGCUUCAGCCAUGUGGAUGAAAUAAAGGAAUUUCUUCACUUUUUAAUGGACCAGUUCAGUGGCCAGCAUUGGCUGUGGAUUGGUUUGAAUAAAAGGAGCCCAGAUUUACAAGGAUCCUGGCAAUGGAGUGAUCGUACACCAGUGUCUACUAUUAUCAUUCCAAAUGAGUUUCAGCAGGAUUAUGACAUCAGAGACUGUGCUGCUGUCAAGGUAUUUCAUAGGCCAUGGCGAAGAGGCUGGCAUUUCUAUGAUGAUAGAGAAUUUAUUUAUUUGAGGCCUUUUGCUUGUGAUACAAAACUUGAAUGGGUGUGCCAAAUUCCAAAAGGCCGUACUCCAAAAACACCAGACUGGUACAAUCCAGAGCGUGCUGGAAUUCAUGGACCUCCACUUAUAAUUGAAGGAAGUGAAUAUUGGUUUGUUGCUGAUCUUCACCUAAACUAUGAAGAAGCCGUCCUGUACUGUGCCAGCAAUCACAGCUUUCUUGCGACUAUAACAUCUUUUGUGGGACUAAAAGCCAUCAAAAACAAAAUAGCAAAUAUAUCUGGUGAUGGACAGAAGUGGUGGAUAAGAAUUAGCGAGUGGCCAAUAGAUGAUCAUUUUACAUACUCACGAUAUCCAUGGCACCGCUUUCCUGUGACAUUUGGAGAGGAAUGCUUGUACAUGUCUGCCAAGACUUGGCUUAUCGACUUAGGUAAACCAACAGACUGUAGUACCAAGUUGCCCUUCAUCUGUGAAAAAUAUAAUGUUUCUUCGUUAGAGAAAUACAGCCCAGAUUCUGCAGCUAAAGUGCAAUGUUCUGAGCAAUGGAUUCCUUUUCAGAAUAAGUGUUUUCUAAAGAUCAAACCUGUGUCUCUCACAUUUUCUCAAGCAAGCGAUACCUGUCACUCCUAUGGUGGCACCCUUCCUUCAGUGUUGAGCCAGAUUGAACAAGACUUUAUUACAUCCUUGCUUCCGGAUAUGGAAGCUACUUUAUGGAUUGGUUUGCGCUGGACUGCCUAUGAAAAGAUAAACAAAUGGACGGAUAACAGAGAGCUGACGUACAGUAACUUUCACCCAUUAUUGGUUAGUGGGAGGCUGAGAAUACCAGAAAAUUUUUUUGAGGAAGAGUCUCGCUACCACUGUGCCCUAAUACUCAACCUCCAAAAAUCACCGUUUACUGGGACGUGGAAUUUUACAUCCUGCAGUGAACGCCACUUUGUGUCUCUCUGUCAGAAAUAUUCAGAAGUUAAAAGCAGACAGACAUUGCAGAAUGCUUCAGAAACUGUAAAGUAUCUAAAUAAUCUGUACAAAAUAAUCCCAAAGACUCUGACUUGGCACAGUGCUAAAAGGGAGUGUCUGAAAAGUAACAUGCAGCUGGUGAGCAUCACGGACCCUUACCAGCAGGCAUUCCUCAGUGUGCAGGCGCUCCUUCACAACUCUUCCUUAUGGAUCGGACUCUUCAGUCAAGAUGAUGAACUCAACUUUGGUUGGUCAGAUGGGAAACAUCUUCAUUUUAGUCGCUGGGCUGAAACUAAUGGGCAACUUGAAGACUGUGUAGUAUUAGACACUGAUGGAUUCUGGAAAACAGUUGAUUGCAAUGACAAUCAACCAGGUGCUAUUUGCUACUAUUCAGGAGAUAAGACUGAAAAAGAGGUCAAACCAGUUGACAGUGUUAAAUGUCCAUCUCCUGUUCUAAAUACUCCGUGGAUACCAUUUCAGAACUGUUGCUACAAUUUCAUAAUAACAAAGAAUAGGCAUAUGGCAACAACACAGGAUGAAGUUCAUACUAAAUGCCAGAAACUGAAUCCAAAAUCACAUAUUCUGAGUAUUCGAGAUGAAAAGGAGAAUAACUUUGUUCUUGAGCAACUGCUGUACUUCAAUUAUAUGGCUUCAUGGGUCAUGUUAGGAAUAACUUAUGGAACAGGGCCAUGAAUAGAAAUUACUAUGAGAAGCCACAGUAUGUCAACUGAGAGAUACAUUAAGCCAAGUGAAAAAAGUGACUUUUUCUUAAAACAACUUUAGAAAUCUACCAUUGCACAUCAUAUUGGUCAGAAAAUUGAUAACUUUGAAGUUUGGGAGAAGGGAAGAGGAACUGGAAGGCAUGAGAUGAUAUAAAGCAGCAAACAAGAACCAAAUCAUGUGUGCAGUGCUUCUAAUGUGUCAUUGCUGCAGGCAGAUGUUUAGGGGUCUUGCCUUGGGAGAUGGUAAUCAGUGAAGACCAGAAAUAACCAGGACAACAUUGGAUAAUUCUCUUAUGUGGUUUGAUAAGACCCCACUGUCAUAUACACAUUGGAGAGCAGGAAGACCAACUAUAAAAAAUGAGAAGUUUUUGGCUGGUUUAAGUACUGACGGCUUCUGGGAUAUUCAAACCUUUAAAGUUAUUGAAGAAACACUUUAUUUUCACCAGCACAGCAUUCUUGCUUGUAAAAUUGAAAUGGUUGACUACAAAGAAGAAUAUAAUACUACACUGCCACAGUUUAUGCCAUAUGAAGAUGGUAUUUACAGUGUUAUUCAAAAAAAGGUAACAUGGUAUGAAGCAUUAAACAUGUGUUCUCAAAGUGGAGGUCACUUGGCAAGCGUUCACAACCAAAAUGGCCAGCUCUUUCUGGAAGAUAUUGUACAACGUGAUGGAUUUCCACUAUGGGUUGGGCUCUCAAGUCAUGAUGGAAGUGAAUCAAGUUUUGAAUGGUCUGAUGGUAGUACAUUUGACUAUAUCCCAUGGAAAGGCCAAACAUCUCCUGGAAAUUGUGUUCUCUUGGAUCCAAAAGGAACUUGGAAACAUGAAAAAUGCAACUCUGUUAAGGAUGGUGCUAUUUGUUAUAAACCUACAAAAUCUAAAAAGCUGUCCCGUCUUACAUAUUCAUCAAGAUGUCCAGCAGCAAAAGAGAAUGCGCCACGGUGGAUCCAGUACAAGGGUCACUGUUACAAGUCUGAUCAGGCACUGCACAGUUUUUCAGAGGCCAAAAAAUUGUGUUCAAAACAUGAUCACUCUGCAACUAUCGUUUCCAUAAAAGAUGAAGAUGAGAAUAAAUUUGUGAGCAGACUGAUGAGGGAAAAUAAUAACAUUACCAUGAGAGUUUGGCUUGGAUUAUCUCAACAUUCUGUUGACCAGUCUUGGAGUUGGUUAGAUGGAUCAGAAGUGACAUUUGUCAAAUGGGAAAAUAAAAGUAAGAGUGGUGAUGGAAGAUGUAGCAUGUUGAUAGCUUCAAAUGAAACUUGGAAAAAAGUUGAAUGUGAACAUGGUUUUGGAAGAGUUCUCUGCAAAGUGCCUCUGGGCCCUGAUUACACAGCAAUAGCUAUCAUAGUUGCCACACUAAGUAUCUUAGUUCUCAUGGGCGGACUGAUUUGGUUCCUCUUCCAAAGGCACCGUUUGCACCUGGCGGGUUUCUCAUCAGUUCGAUAUGCACAAGGAGUGAAUGAAGAUGAGAUUAUGCUUCCUUCUUUCCAUGACUAAAUUCUUCUAAAAGUUUUCUAAUUUGCACUAAUGUGUUAUGAGAAAUUAGUCACUUAAAAUGUCCCAGUGUCAGUAUUUACUCUGCUCCAAAGUAGAACUCUUAAAUACUUUUUCAGUUGUUUAGAUCUUAGGCAUGUGCUGGUAUCCACAGUUAAUUCCUUGCUAAAUGCCAUGUUUAUCACCCUAAUUAAUAGAAUGGAGGGGACUCCAAAGCUGGAACUGAAGUCCAAAUUGUUUGUACAGUAAUAUGUUUAAUGUUCAUUUUCUCUGUAUGAAUGUGAUUGGUAACUAGGAUAUGUAUAUUUUAAUAGAAUUUUUAACAAAACUUCUUAGAAAAUUAAAAUAGGCAUAUUACUAGGUGACAUGUCUACUUUUUAAUUUUUAAGAGCAUCCGGCCAAAUGCAAAAUUAGUACCUCAAAGUAAAAAUUGAACUGUAAACUCUAUCAGCAUUGUUUCAAAAUAGUCAUUUUUAGCACUGGGGAAAAAUAAACAAUAAGACAUGCUUACUUUUUGAUUUUUAUUUUUUUGAGACUGAGUCUCUCUCUGUUGCCCAGGCUGGAGUACAAUGGCAUGAUCUCGGCUCACUGCAAAUCUCCGCCUCCCAGGUUCAAGCUAUUCUCCUGCCUCAGCCUCCUGAGUAGCUGGGAUUACAGGCACCUGCCACCAUGCCCGGCUAAUUUUUGUAUUUUUAGUAGAGAUGGGGUUUCACCAUGUUGGCCAGGCUGGUCUCGAACUCGUGACUGCAGGUGAUCCUCCUGCCUCGGCCUCCCAAAGUGCUGGGAUUACAGGCAUGAGCCACCGCGCCCGGCCUCUGCUUACUUUUUAUACAGCAAAAUGAUUCCUCUUGGCAAGAUGUUUCUUAUAUUAUUCCAAAGUUAUUUCAUACCAUUAUUAUGUAAAUAUGAAGAGUUUUUUUCUGUUUAUAAUUGUUUAUAAAACAAUGACUUUUAAAGAUUUAGUGCUUAACAUUUUCCCAAGUGUGGGAACAUUAUUUUUAGAUUGAGUAGGUACCUUGUAGCAGUGUGCUUUGUAUUUUCUGAUGUAUUACAUGACUGUUUCUUUUGUAAAGAGAAUCAACUAGGUAUUUAAGACUGAUAAAUUUUACAAUUUAUAUGCUUCACAUAGCAUGUCAACUUUUGACUAAGAAUUUUGUUUUACUUUUUUAACAUGUGUUAAACAGAGAAAGGGUCCAUGAAGGAAAGUGUAUGAGUUGCAUUUGUAAAAAUGAGACUUUUUCAGUGGAACUCUAAACCUUGUGAUGACUACUAACAAAUUUAAAAUUAUGAGUGAUUAAGAAAACAGUGAUUUGUGGUUAUCACUUUAAGUUUUGACACCUAGAUUAUAUUCUUAGUAAUAGCAUCCACUGGAAAAGGUGAAAAUGUUUUAUUCAGCAUUUAACUUACAUUUGUCCUUUAGAGUAUUUUUGUAUAAAAUCCAUAGAUUUAUUUUACAUUUAGAGUAUUUACACUAUGAUAAAGUUGUAAAUAAUUUUCUAAGACAGUUUUUAUAUAGUCUACAGUUGUCCUGAUUUCUUAUUGAAUUUGUUAGACUAGUUCUCUUGUCCUAUGAUCUGUGUACAAUUUUAGUCACUAAGACUUUCCUCCAAGAACUAAGCCAACUUGAUGUGAAAAGCACAGCUGUAUAUAAUGGUGAUGUCAUAAUAAAGUUGUUUUAUCUUUUAAGUAAAAGUAAAA